GGGGGCGGGGCUCCGGGGACACUCUCCCUCCCAGCCUGGCUCAGAGACCGAGCGAGGAGAUCCCCGACCCCAGAGCCAAGAUGAUGAGCUGCGGCCUCCUGACCAGCUCCAAGGAGCCGGGCAUAGGAGCUGUAUGGGGAUGCGCUGGCCGGGGGGCAGAGCUUGUUCCUGCUGCAGCAGGAGGAGGCCGGGGGCCACGUGUUCAGCUGCUCUCUGGGGAAUUUACCCCCCGGGGAGGAGGCGAUGCUGACCCUGAGCUA